CAGCAGUAGCCACGGUAAUACGUAGGGUGCAAGCGUUAAUCGGAAUUACUGGGCGUAAAGCGUGCGCAGGCGGUUUGUUAAGUCGGAUGUGAAAUCCCUGAGCUUAACUUAGGAAUUGCAUUCGAUACUGGGAAGCUAGAGUAUGGGAGAGGAUGGUAGAAUUCCAGGUGUAGCGGUGAAAUGCGUAGAGAUCUGGAGGAAUACCGAUGGCGAAGGCAGCCAUCUGGCCUAAUACUGACGCUGAGGUACGAAAGCAUGGGGAGCAAACAGGAUUAGAUACCCGGGUAGUCCCUGUCUCUUAUAA
rnacentral:rRNA from 1 species